GGGCGCGUUGGUGUCUCCUGGAUGCUUGGGAUUGGGAGAAAGGACGGCUGAUUAGGCUCCGGCAUUCGUUGGCCACGUAACCCGGCAACCUUCCGUCUGACCUGCUGAUACUGGGUUCGUGAGUCAGGAGACGUCUGCAUCCUGACAUCUGAUCCACAGACUUGGAGAUCUUGCCUGCUUAUAAAAUUGCGCAAGCGCUUUCCUCGAUCUAAACCUUUCGGACUGCUCAAGAAGACGUCCUAAGGCAAGGGCUUUGGAGACCUGAUGGCCCCACUGGUUGAAACACUUGGCUGCUGACUGCAAGGUCAGUAGUUUGAACCCCGCCACCACCCCAUGGGAGAAAGAGAAGCUGUGCCGGUCUGAGUCUGUAAGCCCCGGGGGAGCAGUUCUGCUCAGCCCUGAAAGCUUGCUGUGUCACCGAGUGACUC